rnacentral:tRNA from 2 species
ACACGAGUGGCGGAACUGGAAUACGCGUUGCGCUAAGGACGCAGUACCUGAAAAGGCAUGCGAGUUCGAAUCUCGCCUCGUGUACCA